AGUGAACGCUGGCGGCGUGCCUAACACAUGCAAGUCGAGCGGAGUUAUUUUUAUGAAGUUUAUAUAUAACUAAGCGGCAAACGGGUGAGUAACACGUAGAAAACCUACUUCAAAAUGGGGAAUACCUUUGAGAAAUUAAAGUUAAUACCGCAUAACACCACAAUGUGGUCAUCACAUUAUGGUUAAAGCUUUUUGCGUUUUGAAAUGGUUCUGCGGCCUAUCAGCUUGUUGGUAAGGUAACGGCUUACCAAGGCUAUAACGGGUAUCUGGCCUGAAAGGGUGAACAGACACACUGGAACUGAGACACGGUCCAGACUUCUACGGAAGGCAGCAGUGGGGAAUUUUGGACAAUGGGGGAAACCCUGAUCCAGCGACGCCGCGUGGAGGAUGAAGGCUUUCGAGUUGUAAACUCCUUUUAGAGAGGAAGACAAAUGACGGUACUCUCAGAAAAAGCCACGGCUAACUACGUGCCAGCAGCCGCGGUAAUACGUAGGUGGCAAGCGUUACUCGGAAUUACUAGGCGUAAAGUGUAUGUAGGCUGUUAGAUAAGUCUUUAGUGAAAGAUUUUGGCUUAACCAGAAAUAGUCUAAGGAUACUGUUUAACUUGGAGUGUGAGAGAGGGAGAUGGAAUUCCUGGUGUAGCGGUGGAAUGUGUAGAUAUCAGGAGGAACGCCAAUGGCGAAAGCAAUUUCCUGGUUCAUUACUGACGCUGAAAUACGAAAGCUAGGGGAGCAAACAGGAUUAGAUACCCUGGGUAGUCCUAGCUGUAAACGAUGUCCACUAGAUGUAGGAGGUAUCGACCCCUUCUAUAUCGUCGCUAACGCAUUAAGUGAACCGCCUGGGGAGUACGACCGCAAGGUUGAAACUCAAAGGAAUUGACGGGGGCCCGCACAAGCGGUGGAGUAUGUGGUUUAAUUCGACGCAACGCGAAGAACCUUACCUGGGCUUGAACUGCUAAUGGUAAGAGUCAGAAAUGAGAAUGACCCGCAAGGGAGUUAGUAGAGGUGCUGCAUGGCUGUCGUCAGCUCGUGUCGUGAGAUGUUGGGUUAAGUCCCGCAACGAGCGUAACCCUUAUCCUAUGUUACUUGUAAUUAUACAAGGUCUCUUAGGAAACUGCCAUUGAUAAAAUGGAGGAAGGUGGGGAUAACGUCAAGUCAUCAUGGCCCUUAUGUCCAGGGCUACACACGUACUACAAUGGUUGGUACAAAAGGAAACGAUAUCGUAAGAUGGAGUAAAUCCUCAAAACCAAUCUCAGUCCGGAUUGUGGGCUGCAAUUCGCCCACAUGAAGUAGGAAUCGCUAGUAAUCGCAGAUCAGCAGGCUGCGGUGAAUACGUUCCCGGGCCUUGUACACACCGCCCGUCACACCACGAAAGUCAGCUGUAACAGAAGUCGUUAAGUUAACCGCAAGGAGACAGACGCCUAAGUUAUGGUUGGUGAUUGGGGUG
rnacentral:rRNA from 1 species